rnacentral:rRNA from 1 species
UCUGCAUGCCGCGUGAGUAAGAAGGCCUCGGGUUGUAAAGCUCUUUUGUCAGGGAAGAAAAGGUGUGGCUAAUAUCCACGGCUCAUGACGGUACCUGAAGAAUAAGCACCGGCUAACUACGUGCCAGCAGCCGCGGUAAUACGUAGGGUGCAAGCGUUAAUCGGAAUUACUGGGCGUAAAGCGUGCGCAGGCGGUUUUGUAAGACUGUCGUGAAAUCCCCGGGCUUAACCUGGGAAUGGCGAUGGUGACUGCAAGGCUAGAGUUUGGCAGAGGGGGGUAGAAUUCCACGUGUAGCAGUGAAAUGCGUAGAUAUGUGGAGGAACACCGAUGGCGAAGGCAGCCCCCUGGGUCAAAACUGACGCUCAUGCACGAAAGCGUGGGGAGCAAACAGGAUUAGAUACCCUGGUAGUCCACGCCCUAAACGAUGUCUACUAGUUGUCGGGUCUUAAUUGACUUGGUAACGCAGCUAACGCGUGAAGUAGACCGCCUGGGGAGUACGGUCGCAAGAUUACAACUCAAAGGAAUUGACGGAGACCCGCACAAGCGGUGGAUGAUGUGGAUCAAUUCGAUGC